rnacentral:rRNA from 1 species
CACCCGCAGCUCGAGUGGUGGUCACUUUUAUUGAGCCUAAAGCGUUUGUAGCCGGAUCCGUAAAUCUCUAGGCAAAUUCCUUCGCUUAACGAAGGAUCUUCUGGAGAGACUGCGGAUCUAGGGACCGGGUGAGGUUGAAUGUACUUCUGGGGUAGGGGUAAAAUCCUGUAAUCCUGGAAGGACGACCGGUGGCGAAGGCGUUCAACUAGAACGGAUCCGACGGUGAGGAACGAGGGCUAGGGGAGCAAACCGGAUUAGAUACCCGGGUAGUCCUAGCUGUAAACACUGCCCACUUGAUGUUGCAUCUCCGUGUAGGGGGUGCAGUGUCGUAGCGAAGGUGUUAAGUGGGCCGCUUGGGGAGUAUGGUCGCAAGGCUGAAACUUAAAGGAAUUGGCGGGGGAGCACCACAACGGGAGGAGCGUGCGGUUUAAUUGGAUUCAACGCCGGAAAGCUCACCAGGAGCGACCUUUGAAUGAGAGUCAACUUGACGAGCUUACUCGAUAGAAGGAGAGGUGGUGCAUGGCCGUCGUCAGCUCGUACCGUAGGGCGUUCACUUAAGUGUGAUAACGAGCGAGACCCCCAUCUUUAAUUGCCAUCAUGUUCGAGAGGACGUGGGCACUUUAAAGGGACCGCCAGCGCAGAGCUGGAGGAAGGAGGGGUCGACGGCAGGUCAGUACGCCCCGAAUCUCCUGGGCAACACGCGCGCUACAAAGGACAGGACAAUGGGCUGCGACCUCGAAAGGGGAAGCCAAUCUCGAAACCUGUUCGUAGUUAGGAUUGAGGGCUGUAACUCGCCCUCAUGAAUCUGGAUUCCGUAGUAAUCGCGGGUCAACAUCCCGCGGUGAAUAUGUCCCUGCUCCU